rnacentral:rRNA from 1 species
UGAGGAAUAUUGGUCAAUGGGCGCAAGCCUGAACCAGCCAUCCCGCGUGCAGGAAGACGGCGCUAUGCGUUGUAAACUGCUUUUCCAGGGAGAGAAACUUGCGCACGUGUUGCGCAAUUGACGGUACCCUGGGAAUAAGCAUCGGCUAACUCUGUGCCAGCAGCCGCGGUAAUACGGAGGAUGCGAGCGUUAUCCGGAUUCAUUGGGUUUAAAGGGUGCGUAGGCGGACUAUUAAGUCAGUGGUGAAAUCCUGCAGCUUAACGG